rnacentral:rRNA from 1 species
UACAGAGGUCUCAACCGUUGUUCGGAUUCAUUGGGCGUAAAGGGUGCGUAGGCGGUCGCGCAAGUCGGAUGUGAAAUCUCAGGGCUCAACCCUGAAACUGCAUUCGAUACUGCGUGGCUAGAGUGCGGGAGAGGAGAGUGGAAUUCCUGGUGUAGCGGUGAAAUGCGCAGAUAUCAGGAAGAACACCCGUGGCGAAGGCGGCUCUCUGGAACGCAACUGACGCUGAGACGCGAAAGCGUGGGGAGCAAACAGG